CUUGACGACCAUAGAGCGUUGGAACCACCUGAUCCCAUCCCGAACUCAGAAGUGAAACGAUGCAUCGCCGAUGGUAGUGUGGGGUUUCCCCAUGUGAGAGUAGGUCAUCGUCAAGAUUAAAUUCCGAAACCCCUAUCUGCUGAUGCAG
rnacentral:rRNA from 3 species